rnacentral:rRNA from 1 species
AUUGAACGCUGGCGGCAGGCUUAACACAUGCAAGUCGAGCGAGCGGCGGACGGGUGAGUAAUGUCUGGGAACCUGCCUGAUGGAGGGGGAUAACUUCUGGAAACGGUAGCUAAUACCGCAUACCAUCAGAUGGGCCCCGAUGGGAUUUGCUAGUAGGAGGGGUAAUGGCUCACAUAGGCUACGAUCCCUAGCUGGUCUGAGAGGAUGACCAGCCACAUGGGAACUGAUACACGGUCCAGACUCCUACGGGAGGAAGCAUUGGGGAAUAUUGCACAAUGGGCGCAAGCCGAAUGCAGCAAUGCCGCGUGGGGGAAGAAGGCUUUCGGGUUGUAAAGCACUUUCAGCGAGGAGGCGUUACCCGCAGAAGAAGCACCGGCUAACUCCGUGCCAGCAGCCGCGGUAAUUC